CUUCGAUGUCGUCGUCGUCGUCGUCGUCUUCACGACCGCUGUGCCACCACGCGAUGCACCACAUCUUCAACCACAUCCACGAUAGAGGGGUCUAUUGAAUGAAGUCUUGGAGUUGAAUGAAGGCUAUACAUAUUUGAGGAUCAAUAUACUAUGAAUAAUAAGGUGUAGUGUUGCAAGUUGGAAUGAGAGAAUGCUGCACUUAAUAUAGGAGACAGCGAUAUGCGUGGAAUUCAUGUCCUCGGCUCCUGUGCUAGACUCGCUCCUAGGCCUCUUGCAGUCCUCCAUGUCCAACGCCUCAUCGCUAAUUGAAAACAAGCAAAGUAAUUAUUUAGAGAGUCUGCAAACAAUGAUAACAUAAAUGAAAUUAACUAGUAAUACUACACUGACAGUGGAGGCAGCAUUUUUAUCUUCUAUGGAGGAAAAAUGAAAAAAUAGAGACUUGGAGAGGAAGUCAGUGAACAUCCAAGAUGGCGUCAGAGAACUUACUUUGUUAGAAGAGAAGAAGAAUCUUGGAAGCAAUUUGAAGAUAGAAAAAUGUGAAAUUACUUAGGAAAUUUGAGAAUUGAGAAAUUUGGAAGUUGAGGAAUUUAAAGAUUGAAAAUUUGGAACUUUGAAAAGUACCUGAGAAAUAUUUGAAAAUGAGGAGAUUAAAGAACAGAGAGAUUGAAGACAGGGAAUUAAGAGUAGGGAAAUAAAAGAGAAGGAAAUUAGGAAAUUUAGAAACAGGAAUUAGGAGAAUUUCUAAAUUGAGAAAUUUGGAAGUUGAGGAAUUUAGAUUUUGAAAAUUUAGAACUUUGAAAAGUACCUGAGAAAUAUUUGAAAAUGAGGAGAUUAAAGAACAGGGGGAUUGAAGGCAGGGAAUUAGGAGUAGGGAAAUUAGUUAAUUUAGAAACAGGAACUAGAAGAAUUUCUAAAUUGAGAAACUCGUAACUAGGGGCAUUUUUAAAUAGAAUUUCUAGGUACAGUCCUAGGCUAAUUAUAAAUUAAUAAUUACAUGAAGGAAUAAAUAUUUAUUACCAAGCAUAUAAUUCAUACCAAUAUCCAGGCAGCCAUUGCCAUCAUCGCUGCAAAAAUGCCCAUGGAUGUGUAAGCGAACAUAGUCAAACACACCACAAUGUCCUGGUGAAGAGAUCAUUUUGGAUAUUUACGUUCCUGUAAGAACGAUAACUCGUAUUCAUAAUUUCUAUACUCGUAUCUAUAAUUUUGUUGAAAAAACAGCAUUGUGAGAAAAAUGUUUGUUUGAAACUCUUUUUCGAUAAAUUAUCAGUAUGAAAAGAAAAAUGGCGCAUUGUUCUCCAUAUUGAAUAUAACAUUGUUAUCUGAACGAGCGAAAGACUCGACAGUUGUCAUACAAAGAAAGACCGUAAAAAGGUAGCUAAAGAGGUGGCCUAUCCGGUAAUAUAACGAGAGUGUGCAGUGAGAGAUCGGUGCUACUCGACUCUUAAUUAGGAGGGACAUAAUAGGAUCGUACAGCGUGGAUGGUUAAUGAAAACAGCCUCGCCAGUCGUGAACAUGAUGGCUGAAUUCUAUCUUUCACCAGCAGCUUUCCGUAGUU